AUGACUUACCUUGAUGGAGGUGGCGGUUACGGUGAUUCUCGUGAUGAUGAUCAGGGAACUAGAGCCCUUAACCAUAGGGACAAAACAUUGCAACGGCGGGAGCAAUGUUUGGAGCAACAGAUGUAUUUCAGAUUCGAGCAUAUCUAGAGAAACUUCAAAGAAAUUACAUAUUGUCUUGGUGCUUAAACAAUAAAACAAACAAGAAUUGGAUUGACAAAAGAAGGCCAGUACAUGGGCAAUAUAUCUAUGAUGAAGAUUUGGAAAAGGAAGAUAAAUAUCAGCCAAUUAGGCUAAUAGGCAUUAGCAGCAUAAUAAAGAUAGGAAAAGAAGCACAAAUUAAUCAAUUAGAACUAUUUCUAAUUUCUAUGAAAAUCUCAAUAUACAAGAAUUCUUAUAUUGGAUCGUGAAUGUGGAUAGAUUCUUCAACUAUGUGGACAUAGCACCUGAAAAAACGAGUCAAAUUGGUAACUCGUCGAUUAAAGGGUGGUUCUUCUGCAUGGUAGGAGCGAUUGCAAUCUAGGAGAGAGAGGGAAACGGACCAAUCCUACAUGAUUUAUAAUGAAGUAUUCGUUGAAACAAGAAUUUUUGCCUCUAGAUUGUGAGCAACUUUGCCAACAAGUCCAACCAAAGCCAAUAGUUGUUGAAAUACGAAAAAGUGAAGAACAAAGGGAGCUUCGGGAUUCAACAAUGCAGCUUGAAUUCGAGGAGCCGAAGUUUGAAUAAUCUAAAUUAGAAACUAUAAUUGAACUGCCUUUCGCUAUGGUUAAAGAUGAAGAGCUUCAAAAUGUGUUCUAAGCAUUGUGGUUAAACCCGGACCAUACUAGUCAGUCAGACCGGUUUAACCGAGAACUAGACUCUGAUUUGGUUUAGUUUAACUAUUACACUCACAUUUUAUGAAAACUGGUAUGAACCGAAUACAUGGUUUUAAAUAACGACCGUUAUUAUAGUUUUGAAAGUGCUCGUUACGCGAUACACUGUUAUUUACAAGUAAGUUUUCAGUUAUAGGUGUAACAGCCAUUACAACUGUUAUGUAAUGGUAACACCCGUUAUUUACUGUUAGAUAACGGUCGUAAUAUCCGUUACACCAAUUUUGAACUCUGUAUGCAUAUACUUCUCUGGCAUUACUAUAUAUAUUUCUUGUUCUCUCAUUUUCACCCAACUUGCUCUUUUCUUCUUCUACAAAAUCUCUCCCUUAUUGUUUGCUAACCUAUGAUCAUCAAUUCCACUCUAUUCUACAAAACUACUUCUUGCAAAAAGGUGUGUUAUUUGCUGUUUUUUUUUAAUUUCUUUUCAUUAUCUAUCUCCUCUCUUUUUUCUUUUUUCUUUUUUCUCUUUUUUUGCAUAUUUGUUAAGAAAAAUUUAUUGUUGAUGUUAAAUUUGUUGUUAAGUUUAUAGUUAGACAGGUUAGUUUAUCCAAUCUAUACGUUUAUUUGAUGUAUUUGUAUUAUUAUAUAAUUGUGUAUCUUAGUUUUAUUUAUAUCUACCAAUAUAUAGUCAU
rnacentral:misc_RNA from 1 species